rnacentral:rRNA from 1 species
CUACGGGGGGCUGCAGCGGGGAAUAUUGCACAAUGGGCGAAAGUCUGAUGCAGCAACGCCGCGUGGAGGAUGACACAUUUCGGUGCGUAAACUCCUUUUAUAUAGGAAGAUAAUGACGGUACUAUAUGAAUAAGCACCGGCUAACUCCGUGCCAGCAGCCGCGGUAAUACGGAGGGUGCAAGCGUUACUCGGAAUCACUGGGCGUAAAGAGCGUGUAGGCGGGUUAAUAAGUUGGAAGUGAAAUCCUAUGGCUCAACCAUAGAACUGCUUCCAAAACUGUUAACCUAGAAUAUGGGAGAGGUAGAUGGAAUUUCUGGUGUAGGGGUAAAAUCCGUAGAGAUCAGAAGGAAUACCGAUUGCGAAGGCGAUCUACUGGAACAUUAUUGACGCUGAGACGCGAAAGCGUGGGGAGCAAACAGGAUUAGAUACCCGGGUAGUC